rnacentral:rRNA from 1 species
UACAGAGGUCCCAAGCGUUGUUCGGAUUCACUGGGCGUAAAGGGUGCGUAGGCGGUCGGGUAAGUCUGAUGUGAAAUCUCCGGGCUCAACCCGGAAAUGGCAUUGGAUACUAUUCGGCUCGAGGUCUGGAGGGGGGACUGGAAUACUUGGUGUAGCAGUGAAAUGCGUAGAUAUCAAGUGGAACACCAGUGGCGAAGGCGAGUCCCUGGACAGAUCCUGACGCUGAGGCACGAAAGCUAGGGGAGCAAACGGG